UCAAGGAACUGGGGGCCGCUCUAGCUGCGCAGAUUGGCCCUCUGUUGUUGCCUCCAGAUAGGAAAAAUCAGGCAUAUUCACAGAUGGGCCCUGCCUGAAAUCCAGGAGCGGUCUAAUUACAGAGCUACGGCUGUCGGUUUUCUCUGUUACCCUAAAUCCUGGCAUAAACCAUACUAUACCCCUCACGGCUCAUCUCUGGGCUCAAGACGAAAAAUAACACCUCCUGAAUGAAUGAAUAAACCCGUAAUGGUCACUCCCCUGGUCCACAAGGAAGAGCUGGGCCCUUAGGGGAUGUUUCCAUGGACUGAUCAACACUGGGGAAGCUUUUCAGAAAGCUGCAGUCAAGAGUUCUGGCCAUUCUAAAGAUGCCCCUGGGUCACUUACCUGUCUUUGGACAAGAAGAGGCUCCAGCAGUGAUUUCAAGGCAAGGAAAUAUGGAAAGAGAGCAACGUUGA